GAUUCAUUGCUUCCUGUUCAGCUACGAAAUUAAGACAUUAGUCGAAAAUUUAGUUUACGUGUUUGUUGUCAUCAAAAAGUGCAUUUAAAAGCCGUUAAUGCCGCCACCUGAUAUUGGUAAUUCGGUAGAUGUUAUCUAUCGAAUCUACGACAGAACAACAAUGUCAGCUUUCUCAUCGAAAUCGUUACAGUACCAAAACAGUAGUUAUCGCUACGUGUUGAGACGGUAGCACUGUUUUUAAGUACACAUUUGA